AACAAAUGCAGCACAAGGUGGCAGAUGUGGAUCCUUGCACCAUCCUGGUCUCUCCUCUGUAUCUUUGUGGACUUCCCGGUCGCCUCUCCUUUUGGUCAUCUGCCAUGUCAAACCAUUGUUUGGCUCCAAGCCAGGCUGCGAAAUCUCCAAACCAUGCUUCUUCACUAGCUUGAUAUACUCUUCUGCAUUGAAAUGCUCAACGCCAAGAUCUUCAUCCCAGAUAAAUAUAUAUUCAUAUGCAGCAACAAUGUCAGGGUGCAGAAAUCUUUUGGCGUACCACCAUUUAGUUUGUUUCCUGGCACUCACAUGAAUAGCCCGCUUUGACCAUUCAAAGUCAUCCCAUUCACUUGUCCGGCCAUCAUAAUGGAACAACAGAAUCGUGAAGUUUUCAGAGAACUUCUUAACUGCCGCAUCG
rnacentral:misc_RNA from 1 species